GACGAACGCUGGCGGCGUGCCUAAUACAUGCAAGUAGAACGCUGAAGCGAGGAGCUUGCUCUUCUUGGAUGAGUUGCGAACGGGUGAGUAACGCGUAGGUAACCUGCCUGGUAGCGGGGGAUAACUAUUGGAAACGAUAGCUAAUACCGCAUAAAAUUGAUUAUUGCAUGAUAAUUAAUUGAAAGAUGCAACUGCAUCACUACCAGAUGGACCUGCGUUGUAUUAGCUAGUUGGUGAGGUAACGGCUCACCAAGGUGACGAUACAUAGCCGACCUGAGAGGGUGAUCGGCCACACUGGGACUGAGACACGGCCCAGACUCCUACGGGAGGCAGCAGUAGGGAAUCUUCGGCAAUGGGGGGAACCCUGACCGAGCAACGCCGCGUGAGUGAAGAAGGUUUUCGGAUCGUAAAGCUCUGUUGUAAGAGAAGAACGGGUGUGAGAGUGGAAAGUUCACACUGUGACGGUAGCUUACCAGAAAGGGACGGCUAACUACGUG
rnacentral:rRNA from 1 species